rnacentral:miRNA from 1 species
CGCGCUACUCCGGCGCCAGGACU